rnacentral:tRNA from 1 species
GGGCGAGUGGUGGAACGGCAGACACAGGGGAUUUAAAAUCCCCCGAGCGUUAGCUCUUGCGGGUUCAAGUCCCGCCUCGCCCACCA